AGGACAUUUGUGAGCAAGAGAGCAAUCGAUGUUGUUGUCUGGUUAGCACGACUAGCAGAGGACCCUUUUGGAUGGUGGCCACGGCACUCACGUCACGAAAAACCAUCAUCUGAAAAUUAGUGAGUGAAUUCUGGGAGCCAGUCAG